UACGAAGGGGGCUAGCGUUGUUCGGAAUUACUGGGCGUAAAGGGCGCGUAGGCGGCGUGUCAAGUCAGGCGUGAAAGCCCGGCUCAACCUGGGAACCGCGCUUGAGACUGGCAUGCUCGAGUUCGGGAGAGGAUGGUGGAAUUCCCAGUGUAGAGGUGAAAUUCGUAGAUAUUGGGAAGAACACCGAUGGCGAAGGCAGCCAUCUGGACCGACACUGACGCUGAGGCGCGAAAGCGUGGGGAGCAAACAGGGAUUAAGAAACCC
rnacentral:rRNA from 1 species